rnacentral:tRNA from 1 species
GCCGCCUUAGCUCAGCUGGUUAGAGCGCUGGUUUGUGGUACCAGAGGUCGGUGGUUCGAACCCACCAGGCGGUA